rnacentral:tRNA from 1 species
GUGGGUGUAGCUCAGUGGUAGAGCGCGUGCUUAACAUGCACAGGGUCCUGGGUUUAAUCCUCAGUUUCUCCA